UAUUAGGUUGGUGCAAAAAUAAUUGAGGUUUUUGCCAUUAAAAGUAAUUGCAAAAACCACAAUUAUUUUUGCACCAACCUAGUA
rfam:Pan troglodytes isolate Yerkes chimp pedigree #C0471 (Clint) chromosome 5, whole genome shotgun sequence.